AAAUUGAACCCCAGAGCUCAGCUUCCAAGAAGGUUAACAUAAUGGUUUUGCUGCUCAUCGUAACAACACCUCACAUCAUGCCUUCAGAUCACUCCCCAGCAUCAUUCUUCAAAUUCAAACGUGAACCAGAAGUGACAAAUGAUUCUUGUAACACGCUCUUUGACACAAAUCAUUUCUGAUUGCUCGGGACCCCAGACAACCUUGAGCAUGCAGAAUCAAGCUGAGAGGGAGAAGUCUUAGAAAAUGAACAGCUUCAACUUCUUGCCGAUGAGAACCCUCUGCUCACGAGGCAGGAGCAGUAUGUGCUGAUUGCCAAACAGAUCAUUUUUAAAAUGAUGCAGAUCUGUGGGGUAUUGGUCCGUGUGGUGAUGUGUCUCAUCUUGCAAUGUCCUAUGCAGCCUUCAAAGCAUUUUUAGAUCCUGGCAAGGAAACAGACAUUCAUGUGCGUAGGGUUUGCAAGGCCCUCUGCAUAUGAUGUUGCUCUUCAUCCUCCCAGCAAGCUCGGGUUUGCUCUGAGAAAAGCAGGAUUUUGUAGCCCUGGCCCCAAUCUUUGGACUUCU
rnacentral:antisense_RNA from 1 species